rnacentral:tRNA from 1 species
GAGGGUACAGCUCAGUGGUAGAGUGAGUGCUUAGCAUGCAUGAGGCCCUGGGUUCAAUCCCCAGUACCUCCU